rnacentral:rRNA from 1 species
UACAGAGGGGGCAAGCGUUGUUCGGAAUUACUGGGCGUAAAGGGCGCGUAGGCGGCCUUCUAAGUCGAACGUGAAAUCCCUGGGCUCAACCCACGGAACUGCGUCCGAUACUGGAAGGCUUGAAUCCGGGAGAGGUGAGUGGAACUGCGAGUGUAGAGGUGAAAUUCGUAGAUAUUCGCAAGAACACCAGUGGCGAAGGCGGCUCACUGGCCCGAUACUGACGCUGAGGUGCGAAAGCGUGGGGAGCAAACAGG